rnacentral:rRNA from 1 species
AACGAACGCUGGCGGCAGGCCUAACACAUGCAAGUCGAGCGAUACCUUCGGGUCUAGCGGCGGACGGGUGAGUAACGCGUGGGAAUAUGCCCUUUGGUACGGAAUAGCCUCGGGAAACUGAGAGUAAUACCGUAUGUGCCCUUCGGGGGAAAGAUUUAUCGCCAAAGGAUUAGCCCGCGUUGGAUUAGGUAGUUGGUGGGGUAAUGGCCUACCAAGCCUACGAUCCAUAGCUGGUUUGAGAGGAUGAUCAGCCACACUGGGACUGAGACACGGCCCAGACUCCUACGGGAGGCAGCAGUGGGGAAUCUUAGACAAUGGGGGCAACCCUGAUCUAGCCAUGCCGCGUGAGUGAUGAAGGCCUUAGGGUUGUAAAGCUCUUUCAGCUGGGAAGAUAAUGACGGUACCAGCAGAAGAAGCCCCGGCUAACUCCGUGCCAGCAGCCGCGGUAA